rfam:Ancylostoma duodenale strain Zhejiang A_duodenale-1.0_Cont28481.1, whole genome shotgun sequence.
GCGAACGGUAUUCAAAAGCUAAUAAUACGCAACGACGAUAUUAUUGCUCGAGAAUACCCUUCGC